rnacentral:lncRNA from 1 species
GGGCAGGCUCUCCCCUGGUGUUCCCAGCAGUGCCUGCAGAAUGAAAGAAUGGCAGAGCUGCUUCUCUUUUCCUUGAGCACCUUCGCCAUCCAAGUAAUUUAAAACAUAGAAAAUUCCAGUGAUGCUCUUUUAGAUUCUAAGUGGAUGUCGUAAAAGUCUCUUUAGAUCACUUUUUUGCUGCUUUCUCUCAAGCAAAGCGUGUGUGCUGCUGUCAUGCUUCCCUUAGGACAGCUUCUCUGUGAAACCACGUGGAUGCUUUCAGGAUCUCUGUGCAUCACAUCCAAGCAGCUCGAAAAGGAUGCACAGCAUUUCAGCAACAGAGAAAACAAUCUCCAGAAUAAAGGACCAGAACCUAGCUCUCAGGUAGCUGAAUUCCUGAAUAGUCUGCAGUCAUCAGAUAUUUGAACACAGACUUGGUCAUCAGCCAGAUAAAAAUCAAGCCUGAGCACCCCAAACUCAAUGAGAACAUGAGUUUUCUCUCUUGUAAAUGUUGGAGUACAGACUCCAGUUAUCAGAUUGCUGUUGUUCUCCUGGUAGAUGCUUUGGGUGAGUCAGAGGAUUCGAAAGGACUCGGAGUGUAAUGACUGUGAGUGAAGAGGAAUUGCCCCUACUCUUGCAGGGCUACCCCAGCCACGAGCACUGUGCCUGAGCUCACAUAACUUACCUGUCAUCAGGACUCAUUAACUCCAGCUUGGCACUGCCCUAAAUGAUGGCACGAACAUUUUGGUUGGCUUAGAGAGCAGGCAGAAUGUGCUCACAUCUGUCUGCAAUAUGCCACGUGGGCAGAUUUGGGAAAUUUAUACGUUUUAGUAGUCCCGCCGAUCACUUCUUCGCCUUACAAUGGCAAUAUGUUGGUCUUCAGGUGGACCUGGGGGUGUGUGAGCACCACAGCAUCUGCCCAUCAUCCCCCCACCCCUCUCCUAAAGAGAACCAUAGUGCUUCACGUAGCUUGAGUACAAGUACAAAAUCAGCAGCAUCAGAAGCUGGGCGAAGGACUCGCGAAGCUGCGGACGGCGAGAGAGGCUCCGUCAGACUGCAUGUGUCCACCAGGCCCUCCGGGGAGGAGAGGGAAGCCUGGACGGCGUGGAGAGCCUGGUAAGCACUGCGGUCACCCCCUGGUACCGAUGCUGUUACGUGUACUGUGGGCUGGCCCC